rnacentral:sRNA from 1 species
AUGGUUAUGAACUCUUUCUCAGAUAGCCUCAACAAUAUUGUUGAUGUUGAAAUUGAUAACAGCUGGGUGAGUGCUGCAGAUGGUGACAAUAUUUCUUCACAUUUUAGAAAGACUGUGGAAGGGUUCCAGUCGAGAAACAAAAUUAUUUAUGAUAAAGUUGAAGGAUUUUCAUCUUUUAUAGAUGAGUGUAUUGCAGGUUUGUUGAGAAAAUUACAGGAAACACAGGAUGGUGUAGUAUUUGUACUUGAGCACAUUGAAUCUUUGAAACAAAAAUCAAAGAAUCUGGAAAUGAUUCAACAGGAACAGGAGACCACUAUAGCCAUGUUAGAAAAUGAUGUUGCGACUUUGUUGUCUGCUUGUACUGAUGCUACAAGAGAACUGCAGAUUGAAGUGAAGAACAAUCUAUUGGAACUUAUCUCUGUUCCUGAGCUUGAGAAGUUGAACCAUACUUUGUCUUUAGAAAUGAGAGAGACUGAUGGAGAUGCCGCAGUUGAGCGGCAACAAAGGCUUGAUGGCAACAAACAUUUUGAUGCUGCAAAUAAGUUGUUAUUGGCAACUAGAAAAUUUCAAUCUCUGGUUAAACAGUUUGAUAGCACAAGUAAUGUGGCAGCCGCUACAGUUGAAGAAUUGCAAAAUAAAUUGAAACAAAGUAGAACAAGUCUUGAAAAUGCUAUUGAAGAAAGGGAUCUAAACCAAGAUAGAGUUUCCGAGCUAGAGAGUGAGGUAGAAGAAUUGCAAACUUCAUGCAGUGAGCUGAGGCUUAAACUAAAUGAUUCUCAUUCCAAAGAGGACAAGUUAAAGGAAAGAGAGGCAGAAAUUUCCUCGCUGUCCAAUACUUUGUUAAUGAAAGGAAAAGGUAAACAUCUUUGAUGGGAUCUUGCUGCACAAAUCUAUUUUGGUUGUUAUUAUUUUGUCAUUUUUCUUCUGACUUCUUUGUUCAUAUUUGUUGUUUCAGAGGCAGAAGACUCCCUUCUGUCAGCAUCCCAAGUGAAAACACUCCUUGACAAAAUUGGAGGGAUUGAAAUCCCUAUGGCAGAGUCAGAAGUUGGAGACCUGGUGCCCCAUAAUUCUGCUCACGUAAAGAAGCUCUUUUACAUUAUUGAUACUGUUACUGAGUUGCAGCAGCAAGUGAGGUUAUUGUCUCAUGACAAAGAAGAGCUGCAAUCAACAAUUACAACACAGAUUCUGGAAAUUGAGCAUCUCAAGGAGGAAGUUGAGAAACUUGUCAGGGACAGACAAGAUUCCGAAAAAGUGAAGGAUGAACUGUUUGAACUCACUUUUGGUUUGGAGAAAAUUAUAGGUAUUUUAGGAGGUGAAUUGUUUGACCAAAAAUCUGCUGGUGUCAAGGGACUUCUGUCAGUAUUAGAAAAGCAGGUUGUGACCAUGCCUUUGGAAUUGGAAAAUUCAAAAUCAAAAGCUCAGGAGCUUGGCACAAAGUUGCUUGCAAGCCAAAAGGUUGUGGAUGAAUUGUCAAUCAAAGUUAAAGUUCUUGAAGACUCACUUCAAGAUAGGAGUGCUCAGACAGAGAUCGUUCAGGAAAGGAGCAUCUUUGAAGCUCCCUCAUUGCCUACAGGGUCCGAGAUAUCUGAAAUUGAAGAUGCGGUAAUUAUUGAAUUACAUGAUUUUUUAAUAUAAUUUUCUUCAUGCAUGAUAUUUUUGUUUCUCUGAACAAAGUUUUCACGGAUAAAUUUUAAGCAAACUGUGUUGGUUUUUGGAUCUCAAAUGACCUUAGGUUCAGGUCUUGCAGAUGUUCCAGUUAGACAAAUUAGAUUAAUUAAUAUAUUCUAUACAUAUAUCUGUACUGCCUACAGAGUGUCGUUUUUCGGUGAUCUAUGUGACCAACCUAAUUGUUAAAACUUUCCAUUGGAAAAGUUAAAGCUUUCUUCAAUCCUUUUUCUUGUUCUCUCUUCCCCAAUGAAUUUCAAAACUUUAGUUGGAUAUUGAAAAAAGAAAGAUGUAGUUCAGGCAAAGGAGUAAUGAUAUGUAACACAAUUUGGGUAGACUUGCUGUUGGGUGACUCAAAAUUUUCCUCUCCAAAUAAUAGAGAAGAUGCCUGUAUAAAGCAUUGCUUGCCAUAUGCAGGGCUCACUUGGGCAGACUACAAAAUCUCCUGUCCCGCCAGCCACUGUUGCAAGAACUGUGCGAAAGGGUUCAGCUGAGCAUCUUGCAAUCAAUGUUGAUGUGGAAUCUGAACGUUUGAUCAACAAUGAGGGAAGUGAUGAGGACAAAGGUUUGCAUUCUAUCUCAUCUUCAUCUAAAUAUUCAGUUUAGAAAGCUCAGGUAAUUGACGUAUUUUUUUUCUCUUAUCCAGGUCAUGUAUUCAAGUCUCUGAACACGUCAGGUCUCAUUCCAAAACAAGGAAAGUUGAUUGCGGAUCGAGUUGAUGGAAUCUGGUAACAUGCCAUAUCAUCUGCUUUAGUUUAUGUUUCAAUUACUGUAUUGAAAGUUGGAACCUAAUCUACUAACUGGCAAUAAAGUCAUAACUGAGUUGGAUUAUGUUCUAUAUACAGACUUGAUACUAAGUUUCUUUUUAAUCUGUACAUGCAGGGUAUCUGGUGGUCGACUUUUGAUGAGUCGUCCCCAAGCAAGGCUAGGCCUUAUUGCCUAUUCACUCUUAUUGCAUAUAUGGCUGUUGGCAACAAUUUUGUGACUAAUUCUUUGAUCAUCUGUUCUCUGGAUCAUACCGCAACGAUAUUCUUAGUCUGCAAGUUGUAUCAUAGAUAAAUAACAUUUCUAUUUUUUUCCCAUUCUUUUAUGGUCACGGUGGUUAACGUGUUCAUAUUUUACAUAUCACCUUAUUGAUUCUCUGAAAUCAUAUUUUUUUAGGGGUUCAGGGAAUACAUGCCUCUCUGCUUUUAGAGAGAUGUAUCACUUUAGUUACUUAAUAAGUCUUUUGUCCUGUUGGAAUAUUGAGCUAUAGUUUCAAGUUUGGUAGAUAAACAUGAAAUGUAAGUGGUGACACCAUAUGUUCUAGACUUCUAGUAUCUCUGUGUUAACUAUGCGGACUUUGAGGAUUGGUACUGAGACUGAGAAUGAUCUUCAUUGAAAUCGGAAAUUAUUUCUGAAAUAUUUUAAUUAUCUACAACUUAUUGUUGAGCAAAUUAAAACUCAUAGUUAUCCAAUUUAAUUCCAAUGAGCACCGAGAGAUAUUUGAAUCUCAAUUUUGCCUAUCUGGACUAAAUUCUGAAUACAAAUAUUAACUUGUACUAUGUUGUUAAUUCAAGAAUUGUAAACCAAAAAAAAAAAAAAAAACUACAAAAUUAAAUAUCUAUUUAUAUUACAGAAGUUAAUUUCUUCUUAAGGGUAUUUUUUUUAUAAAUAAAAUUGGAUUUAAUACGUAUUAGUCAUAUCUACUUUUUUUUUUUUUUUUCCUUGAAACGUAUGGAGUGGACGAGGAUUAUUCAAAAAUAACCAUUUAAAUUUUUUUUUUUUUUAAAAUAGAGGAUUGAGAUUGAGAGAAGCUCUCGUUUGGUCCUUGAAUAUCCUUGAAUAUUCUGAAUUCCCAAAACUAUCCCCCAAAUGGCCACGUGGCGACAGCUGAAAAUUUAGACACAGAGUAAACAAACGGUUGGGAAGAGUUGAACUCAGUUGUUCAAUGUUCUCAGUUCUUACUUUCUCAGCCUCAGGGAAUUUGAACAUCUUUCUUCUGCUUUUCCCAGCAAAACUCAAAUAAGGUUUGGUUUUCUCUGAAUUCCAGUUGCUUUACCAAAAAAAUAUAGAGCUUACUUUCUUUACCCAUUUCUUUUCUCUUUAUAAUUGAAGUAGUAGUUGGAAUUUAACAGACAUCCAAAGUGAAGUGCACCCAUUUGGAUUUUGAAGCUGCUAUCUUUAUAUAUAUAUAUAUAUAUGGGUUUGCUCACUAUAAACUGUUGGUGGACCAGAACAAACAAUUUCUCUACAACCCUCUUUCCUUACAGAGCAUCUGCCUUCAUGGGUUAGUUUUUUCAAACCCCUUUAAUUUAUUUCUCUCUCUCUCUCUUAAUGUUUUGCUAAGUUUAUAUUGCACAAACACACACACACACACACAUAUAUAAAGAACAGUUAUUUGUAUGUUAUUCUUAAACAUUUCCAUUAAGGCAGAUAGGGGGUUGUGCGUUGAUCAUUCGUUUUGGUUCAUGCAUAUAAGAGUUGGGUCAGACGUUGCUCCUUAUAAAGCCUUAUUUAGUGUUGGUGUUUAAUUUCCCAAAUGUUGUGGUUGCAGCACAAUGAUAGUGAUAUUUUGUUGGUCCUAUAUAUGGACCUGGGAUGUUAUUAUGUAGGUUUGCAAAUAUGGGAGGGGAUGUAUGAGACUUGGGUCUUAAGUCUUGACUGUGUAUUAGGAAGAAAUUACUUUAUAAUAGCACAGAGGGAUCGAAUCAAAUGAGGAAGGGACAAGAACUAGUCCUCGUUUAGGCUUUGUACUACAAAUGAUGGAAUAUUUCAUAAUUUCAUUCUGUUUUUUUUUUUUUUUUUUCUUGGUUGCUUUAUUUUAUGAAGUACAAUAACAAUGCAACCUCAAGAUGCUAUUCUAUUCUGAAAUUCUACACUAACAUUACAAUCUUAAUAGCAAGCUGCCCCAUCUAACAGCAUUGACAUAUUCCUAGCUGAGAAGCUCUAUUUUUAGUCUUGCAGUAUUUCAUUUUCCAUUGACAAUGUACUUGUUAUUUGUUAAAUGCUUAAUUUUUGUAUGACUGUCCAAAUGUGAUUACAUGUGAUUAGGCGGGAAGUUUAUUCACCUCUCUGAUGCGGAACGGGUUGUACUUUCUACAUUGCACAGUGUAAUAUUCUCUUCUUUUUAGCAAUUUGAUGUUAAAUCUGAGAAAAAUUGUAGAACUUUUGUUUUUCUAUCAUCUCACACUAAUAUCAUUCUUUUUGCAGGGUUUUAGAUUUGAUACAAGGGCUUUUGCAAGCCGGAAUUCAGUGAAGAAAUUGAGAAGAAAUAGACAACCACCUGAAAUUGUAGCAGAUAUUCCUCCCACAAAAGAUGAUUAUGUUCAAGAUGAAAAUUCAGCUUCCUCUUUUGAAAAUUCAGUUGAUCAGAAUUCUACAAUAAAGCCUUCCAGGAGUACUGUGCUUCAGGCAUGUACCAUCACUUCUGGAUUAAUAGCGGCUUUGGGUAUAAUACUUCGUCAGGUAUGCUUACUCUCAUGCAUCAACUACCUUGGCAUUCUGCUCUAUUUUUGUCUAAGACUGAUAUCUCUGGGACUGUAAGAAGCCACCUAGUCAUACUCGUCAUAUCCCCACCGUUUUGGUUUCUCGUUGUGUUAUUUGAAUUAAAUGUGUUCGCUUCCUCCUUUUUUACCUUGUGGAUUCUUCCUUUUUUCUCUUUAGAUUGAAUCACUACUUAAGAGUGGAAUCAAAAUUGUGAGACAACUUCAGAAGUUUGAAUUAGGAAUAUUUUUUUUUAUGAUGAUCUAAAUGCGCUACACCCAGUUCCCCCUUUCUUUAUCCUCUUGUUUGUGACAAACAAUGCAUCCUUGUAUCCACUUAUAAUGUGCGAGUAAUGUUCUGUGAUAUUGUUUAAUAGCAAUCAGCGCCGUAGGACUUUUUUACUAUUUAAUUUCAAUAUUUUUUGUUCACACCAAACACCAGUCACAAAACUUUGUUACUCAAUGCUAAGCUCUUGGUUUUAGUCGGGAAGUGUCACUUUGGAGUAAAGGAGAAUUCUCAAUUUCACUAAAAUAAAAAUUAAAAAAUUUCAUGGGCAACAUUAUGUUUGGUCAAUCAUCUGGAUCUUAAUUUUUUUCUCUAAUUGCUAUUUGCAGGUAUCCCAUGUUGCAUCAGUGGAAGGAUUGCCAAUCCUUGACUGCUCUGCAGAAGUAUCAUGUAUAAAUUUUGUGUUCUCUUCUUAUUGCAAAUUUUUCAUUGACUUUUUUUAUUGUUCUCCCUUUUCAGAUUCAACAUCCUGCUUCUUUCCACAGAAUGCAAAGAGACAUUUUCUUGGAAAAUAAAUUUUUGGAAAACUGAGCAGACAGGAUAGUGAAAAUCAUCUAAAAUGAGUAGUUGUCCUAAAAGGCUAAAACAUGAUUAACAUUUCUGGGAAACAGCCAAUCAGCCAAUGGCAAUGGAAUAGCAGACACCAAAUGCAAAUCAAAUUAUUGGUUUUGUUUUUCUAGAUUUUGAAAGCUCAAUUGUACUUUCUCAUGGAUAUGAAAUUUAAUUUUGGGUUUUGAUUUUCAAAAAAGAUUUUACUAGAAUAAUCAAAAUUUGCUCAUUUUUCAAAUCUGCAAAAAGGAUUAGAAAUCUAUGGAAAUAUAGAAUAUGCUGAUGCUUUAUUAAAAUAAUUUUCCUGAUAAUUAUAUAAUGCGGAGAAUGUCAUUCUAAUAUGGAUCAUCUUUCCAUAUUCUAUAUUUUAUUUUUAUACAUCCUUUUUGCCUCUUUUGUUGUAGAUUGGAAUUGGGCAAUUCAAUGACUUAAAAGAGUGUCAUGUUUUCCCCAUGUACAGUUGGUUUUGAGAUGUGGCAUCUUGAGUUGAUUACAGGAAUAGUUGUAUUGAUAUCAUCAAGCCGAUAUCUACUACUGAAGACAUGGCCAGAUUUUGCUGAGUCUAGUGAAGCAGCCAAUCAGCAGGUAGCUGUACUGAUUUUCCUAACUGUCUCUAGAGGGACUCGUACAUAUCAUUUAAUUUUUGUAAUGAAUUAG